CGGGGGGAGCAAGCGUUGUUCGGAUUUACUGGGCGUAAAGGGCGCGUAGGCGGCGCAACAAGUCACUUGUGAAAUCUCCGGGCUUAACCCGGAGCGGCCAAGUGAUACUGUCGUGCUAGAGUGCGGAAGGGGCUACUGGAAUUCUCGGUGUAGCGGUGAAAUGCGUAGAUAUCGAGAGGAACACCUGCGGCGAAGGCGGGUAGCUGGGCCGACACUGACGCUGAGGCGCGAAGGCCAGGGGGAGCGAACGGGAUUAGAUACCCCGGUAGUCCUGGCCUUAAACGAUGGAUGCUUGGUGUCCGGGGUUACAUAGUCCCCGGGUGCCGGCGCUAACGCAUUAAGCAUCCCGCCUGGGGAGUACGGUCGCAAGACUG
rnacentral:rRNA from 1 species